GACAACAAAGUAAAGGCAUGCCAUAUCUUGUCUUGCGUGUGAGUAUGAGUGAGGACUUGGGGAUCGACAGAUGUUGGUAGUUCGUGGUGAGAAAGUUGGAGCUUGUAAUGAGAGCUGGACAAAGUUUAGCCCACUCUCUCAUGCACAGUGCAAAAAAGAUGCUUUCAGCGUGUCUAUGGUAGCUUGGAAAGGAGAGAACAUUUAUCUACCCGCUUGUGGCAGAGCAGAUAGCAAGAACAACGUUCCAUCACAACUCGGGUGGCAGGGUGAGAAAAGGCGUCGUGUGGACAAAAAUUAAAACAAACUUGUUUAGUCAGCAACUUGAAAUUUAGGCUGAAUUCUUAUUCGAGAUCAAGAAAGUACUGGUUGGAUUGCAUCUAUCAAGAGAAGCACAAAUGCCAGCAACUAAUUGCAGUUACCGUGCCUACAAACUUUAGAGAUAAUGCGUAAUCUAACAACAUUAACACUCUAGAAAACACAUAGUAAUGUUGAUUUAGCUAAAUGAAAGUGAAUGAGGACCACAUCCAAACCCUAAUCGCAGUAUUAACUCAAGGGUGGAUUGAAAGAGACAUGGACACACAACAUAAUUCAUGGGCAAGUCUGUGUGGUUUCAACUAUACGUUCAUGAGCAAACAGCGAAAGCAAUGAUUAAAUGAAAGAAUAACUGAUUCCAUAAAAUAAAAAAUAAAAA